rnacentral:lncRNA from 1 species
GCUUGGUGAGAGUGUGCUCCAAUUGCUUAUUGGUGCCUGUCACGGACAUGGAAGUGGUGCUGUGUGCAUCACAUUUGCCAUCCUUGGUUUGGCCUGUCUUUCCCAUCUGAGCUUGCCUUCUUACUACACCCUUCUGUAAACCCUUUGCUGCACUCACACUGCCCAGCUCCCUGCCCCCUGCGAUGCUGGAUGCCGUGUGCUGCCUGCCUGCCUCUGUGCCCUGGUGCCCCCGCCUUCCCCGGCCUGGGACACUCUCCCUCACUCCUCAGCUCAUCCAGGCUUGUCCUCUUCUGCAAGGAUCAGUUCAGACUGCCCUGCAGGGAAGCUCCUCCAACCCACCCCUGCCCUAACCAUUCCACAACCAAAGGAUGCCAUCUGUUUCUGACUUCUCAUAACACUCUCCGCGUCUUCCAUGGCCUGCACACACAUCUCAUGGCACCUCAUGUGGGCACUGGUGUCCUUUCCUCAUGCCUAUUGCUGACCUCUUAGUGACUGUGAGGCCCAAGGGCAGCUAUGUUGUCCCCUCCCCUUUGUUGGGGACAAAGGGAAUAUGAUUUUGUGAUUUAAUUGGCAGAGCUUGGAUGUGGCAAUCAGAGAUCCUAGCUAGGGCUCCCGGUGCUGCUGCUUGGGGAUGUGUGACUGUCCCUAAAUCUUUUGACCUCUCUGAGCCUCAGAUUCCUCUUCUAAUAACACAGAGUCACUGGGAGCACGCAGGGAGAUGUGUGUGCCUGGUGCAUUCUGAGCUCUGGGUGCAUAGUAAGCACUUGGCUUAAUACCUGGUAGUGUUCUCUUUCUUUCCUUCCUGGCCCUGGUUCCUUGAACAACCAUUCCAAUGUGGUCCUUAUAUCUUUCUUUGGGACGGCCCUCCAAGUGUUUGUUGGGAGUCCAAGUGGUACAGCCCGAGAGCUUGGUGCAGGAGAAAGCGGGUAUUCUGUUCACUCAUGGAAAGACCCAAAGAUCAUGGGAACCGCAGCAUCAAAGGCAGCCCCACUUUAGGCAGCAGCUGUGUUCGCGCACAACUGUAUGCAAUUUCAAUUUGAUUAGCUUUAACAUGAGCCCCCUUUUACAAGUCCCAGGGGACUUGCCAAUUAAUGAUCUGUUUGGCAAAUCCUUUUGUAAAAUGCAGAGUCACCAAAUUGUUCUGCUUUGUGGUUCUGGAUUCGUACAUAUUAGGUUUUCUUCAAGUAGGUACUAUUUUAGCAGUGAAACCUCCUUAUAUUCUAGCCAAGUUUUUGAGCUUCAGUAGUCAAAAUUACUAUUUAUUUAAAUCUGUUGAAUAUGUAUUAUAUUCCGGAAAGCUAUUUUCAACUCAUGAAAAUUAAGUGAGAAAACUAGAGUUACCAGGGUCCGUCUUCUGUUCCUGCUGUGUACCCGACUCUCGCUGGCGGUCCUGGCAGAUGCUCAGCUGUCCUUGAUAAAGGAACAGGAGUGCUAAAAACCAGGAAGAUGCUGAGAACAAGUAAUCUGGCCCGGGAAACAUGUAAUUACCAUGAGUGCCAGUCUCUGUAAUGAAGCGUUGAUAGGGCCAAGUCCAGAGCAUAAAUUACCAGGGAAGGGGGCAAGGUAAGAUGUCGCGUCCAACAAUUUAGCCUCCGAGUAGCUUCCGGCAGCUGUCCUGUAAUGCGUCUUGUCUGGUGCAGACCAAGGCAGAUGCAUUCCAGUGCAUUCCACCUCAAAGGGAGAUAAGCAUGGAAGGAGUCAAGUGAGACUGUUGGUCUGUCUGCCACUCCCUCUGGAGAGAUACUAGGAGUUUCAGUAGUGUUUGCUUGUUGUCGCAGAAUCCUAGAUUUCCAGGACAGACUUUGAGAUCAACCCUCUCAUUUUACAGAUAAAGGAAUCGAGGUCCAGGAAGGGGAGUAGAAUUACCAAAGCCUCCAAGUGAGUCAGUAGCCAUGGUUGGUACUUGAACUUCCAUCCUUUGACUUGGUUUACCUUUGUUACCCCACUCAGUUCUACCCCAGGAUGGCCAGAGGAGACCAGGCUUGACUGACAGCCCUGUUUCCUAGGGGAUGUCACUGUCUAGGUAGAGAUGCUGGAGAUAUAGCAGGAAGAAAACACACCCAAAUCCUGGCCUGCAUGGAGCUGAUAUUGUAAGAUACCCCACACCAUCAGUCAAAGGGGGCUGUUCUGCGCAUCGUGGGAUGUUCAGCAGCAUCCUGGACUCCUCCCACUAGAUGCCGAUAUACCAUGUCAGCAAGAGGAAGCCUGGAUAUGCCGUGUGUGUUUUUCUAGUGGUGAUUGUUUCUUCAUUAGAGCCUACAAAGUCGGUAUGUUUUAAAAUCCAAAACUGGAACAAAAUGAAAGCCGUCCGUGAAUCUUGGCUGAGUUUGGGCCGUAAUUCAUUCAAGUAGCUCAUUACGCAUCGGAAUUACCCAACUGCCGAAGCUUCUGAACAGCAGGCAAUUCUAGAGCUUCACUUUCAACUUUCUGCUCUUAUUGAUUUAUGAAACCUUACUACCUUCAAAAUCAUGAAAUAUUCCAGGCAUGCAAAGAGGCACAGAGAAUAUUUUAAUGAAUAUCGUGCACCCACCACCCAACCGAGGAAAUAAAGCCUGACAGUUACAAUCGAUGCUCCUGUAGACUCCUCCCAGAUUUCCUUCCUUCUCGCUCUCCCUAGAGAUUACCACUGCCUGAAUUUAGCAAUUUUUCUUAAGUUUGCUAUCCAUAUAUGUAAUCAUAAACUACAUGAGGCAUUGUGUGUGUUUAAAAACUUUAUAUAAAUGGCAUCUUGCUAAACAUAUCCUUCCGCAAUGUGUUCAUCUUGCCACGUUGGUGGGACUCAUCUGUGCUGAUCUAUAUUGCUGUAGUUUAUUUCACUGCUGCAUAGUAUUCUGGUAUAUGAAUAUAUCACGGAAUAUUCAUCUGUCCUCCUGCUGAUGGGCAUUUAGGCUGCUUGCUGUUUCUUGCCACGGUAAACAAUACUACAGUGAGUGUCCUGGUACAUCUCCUUGUGUACAAAUGCAAAACUUCCUCCAGAGUGUAUACUUAUGAUUGGAAUCACUGGAGUUCAAGGCAUGUAUGGUAGACAGAAUUGAAGGUACACAUGCCCUGUGUAAUCUCCAGGACCGUGGAUAUGAGGAAUAUCGCUCCUGAGACUGGAUUGUGUUUUAUGGCACAGUUGAAUUUAAGAUAGAGAGAGUGUUAAAGACAAGAUAAUUGUGUCUCCAUACCACUUAAUCCUUCCCCGUCCCCCAGCCAAUUCAUACGUUGAAAUGCUAAUCCCCAAUGCGGUGGCACUGGAAAGUGGGGACCUUAGGAAGUGAUUAGAUCAUAAGGGUGAACCCCUCAUGAUGGGACUGGUGCCUUUAUGAGAAGAGGUUAGAAGGCUAGCUAACUCUCUCUCUGCCAUGUGAGGACACAGUGAGAAGGUGGCCAUCUGCAACCCAGAAGAAGGCCCUCACCAGAACCCGGCCAAGCUGACACCUAACCUUAGACUUUCAACCCUCCAGAAUUGUGAGAAAUAAGUCCCUGUUGUUUAUGAGCCUUGAGUGUGUGGUACUUUGUUAUAGCAACCUGAACUAACAAAGUGAGAUUGUCCAGAUGGGCAUGAUCUAAUCACUGGAGCUCUUUAGAUGAAAGUCUGUUGGCCAGAGACUGAGAAGUUAGAGGGGUUUGAAGUGCUAGAGGGAGAUUCUCCAUGCUGGCUCUGAAGAUGGAGGGGGCAUGUCACCAAGAAUGUGGCUGGUGUCUAAGAGCUGAGAGCAGCCCCUGGCUGACAGUCAGCAAGGGCAUGAGGAUGUCAGUCCUCCAAGCGCAAGGACCUAUACUCUGCCAGCAACCUGAGUGAUCUUGGAAGAGGAUCCUGAGCUCCAGAUGAGACCACACCUCAGGGCAUGCCUUGACUUCAUCCUUGCAAGAAUCUGAGCAGAGAACCCAGACAUGAUGUGUCUGGACUUCUGACCUAUGGGAACCAUGAGACAUAUUUGCUUUUUUUAAAAAAAAAUUGUGGUGAAAUAUCCAUAACAUAAAUGUGCCAUUUGUAGAGGUACAGUUCAGUGGCCUUAAGUCUAUCCACAUGAUUAUGCAACCAUCAGCACCGUCUAUCUCUAGAACCUUUUCAUCUUCCCAAAUUGAAACUCUGUCUGUAUUAAAAUUCACAUUGUUUUAAGUUGCUAAGUUUGUGGUAAUCCAUAAAUAGCAACAGAUAAUUAACACAAUAUCCAAAGCCAUAUUUUUUCUAACAAAUUAUUUUAUCAGAGUAGUCUCACUCAUUUGCCUAUGGUAUCACUAUUCAAGAAUUUCUAGGAUACAUUUAUUACCAACAUAUCAGAGAAGAACUAAAAUAGCUCAACCUUUGUUUCAUUCUCCUGUGGAGGUUUCAAGCAGGUAGUGACUUCAGAAAGAAAUGGGAAUAGUUUCUACCUAGAUUAAACCUUCUAAUUCUCCUCCCCCUCCCCCAUUACAUAUAUAAUUUGUUGCUUAGAAACACCUUUAUUUCCCAUUUUAUUUUUAAAAUUGCAGUGACAGAAUGGAAGGGAGGUGUUAGCUUGAA